rnacentral:rRNA from 1 species
GAUGAACGCUGACAGAAUGCUUAACACAUGCAAGUCGAUGGGGAAGUGGUGCUUGCACCAUGGUAACCAUGGCGGACGGGUGGGUAAUGCGUAAGGAACUUACCUGCGGGACCGGGAUAACAGCAGGAAACUGCUGACAAGACCGGAUAAGGUCAUUAAGCUGCAUAGCUUAGUGAUGAAAGGAGACGCCUGCGGAGAGCCUUGCGUCCUAUUAGCUAGUUGGAGGGGUAACGGCCCACCAAGGCGAAGAUAGGUAGCCGGCCUGAGAGGGUGGACGGCCACAAGGGGACUGAGAUACGGCCCUUACUCCUACGGGAGGCAGCAGUGGGGAAUAUUGGACAAUGGGGGCAACCCUGAUCCAGCAAUUCUGUGUGCACGAAGACGGUUUUCGGAUUGUAAAGUGCUUUCAGCAGGGAAGAAGGAAGUGACGGUACCUGCAGAAGAAGCGACGGCUAAAUACGUG